AACAAACGCUGGCGGCGUGCCAAAUACAUGCAAGUCGAACGGGGAAAGCUUUCGGGUGAGUACUAGUGGCGCACGGGUGAGUAACGCGUGGAUAAUCUGCCUUAGAGUGGGGGAUAACUAGUCGAAAGAUUAGCUAAUACCGCAUAAGACCACAAGAACCGCGGUUCAAGAGGUCAAAGGUUUUUCGCUCUAAGAUGAGUCCGCGUAAGAUUAGCUAGUUGGUGAGGUAACGGCUCACCGAGGCAACGAUCUUUAACUGGUCUGAGAGGAUGAUCAGUCACACUGGAACUGAGACACGGUCCAGACUCCUACGGGAGGCAGCAGUAGGGAAUAUUGCACAAUGGAGGAAACUCUGAUGCAGCGACGCCGCGUGAGUGAUGAAGGCCUUCGGGUCGUAAAGCUCUGUCGCAGGGGAAUAACACAAUGAAUGUACCCUGUAAGAAAGGAUCGGCUAACUUCGUGCCAGCCGCCGCGGUAAGAC
rnacentral:rRNA from 1 species